rnacentral:rRNA from 1 species
UGGGGAAUAUUGCACAAUGGGGGAAACCCUGAUGCAGCGACGCCGCGUGAGCGAUGAAGGCUUUCGAGUCGUAAAGCUCUGUCCUAUGGGAAGAUAAUGACGGUACCAUAGAAGAAAGCCCCGGCUAAUUACGUGCCAGCAGCCGCGGUAAUACGUAAGGGGCGAGCGUUGUCCGGAAUUAUUGGGCGUAAAGAGUGCGUAGGCGGCAAAUUAAGUCAGAUGUGAAAACUAAGGGCUCAACCCAUAGAUUGCAUCUGAAACUGAUAUGCUUGAGUCAAGGAGAGGAAAGUGGAAGUCGUAGUGUAGCGGUGGAAUGCGUAGAUAUUAGGAGGAAUACCGGUGGCGAAGGCGACUUUCUGGACUUGAACUGACGCUGAGGCACAAAAGCGUGGGGAGCAAACAGG